AUGCCAUCUAUAUCCUCUACAUAUAUACUUAUCUAUGUUAUAUACGUGUGUGUUCAUGUGUCUGUAAUGUAUAUAUGGAGGGGAGGAGGGGUUUGAGGUUCAGCUUGAAUACAGCAUGAUCACACCAUUUAGUUUUUUUCCUUAUGAUCUGUUUGAAUCGAAGACAUCCCCCCCCUUUUGUUACAGAUACAGAUAGAUUGGCAUGAGCUUAUAUUGCCUCCAAUUCUGAGAAUGCCUGUUUUUGCAUUUUUAAUUUCCAUGUCCACAUUUACUUA
rnacentral:lncRNA from 1 species